GAUGAACGCUGGCGGCGUGCCUAAUACAUGCAAGUCCAGCGAACGGACCAGAAGCUUGCUUCUCUGAUGUUAGCGGCGGACGGGUGAGUAACACGUGGAUAACCUACCUAUAAGACUGGGAUAACUUCCGGAAACCGGAGCUAAUACCGGAUAAUAUUUUGAACCCCAUGGUUCAAAAGUGAAAGACGGUCUUGCUGUCACUUAUAGAUGGAUCCGCGCUGCAUUAGCUAGUUGGUAAGGUAACGGCUUACCAAGGCAACGAUGCAUAGCCGACCUGAGAGGGUGAUCGGCCACACUGGAACUGAGACACGGUCCAGACUCCUACGGGAGGCAGCAGUAGGGAAUCUUCCGCAAUGGGCGAAAGCCUGACGGAGCAACGCCGCGUGAGUGAUGAAGGUCUUCGGAUCGUAAAACUCUGUUAUUAGGGAAGAACAUAUGUGUAAGUAACUGUGCACAUCUUGACGGUACCUAAUCAGAAAGCCACGGCUAACUACGUGCCAGCAGCCGCGGUAAUACGUAGGUGGCAAGCGUUAUCCGGAAUUAUUGGGCGUAAAGCGCGCGUAGGCGGUUUUUUAAGUCUGAUGUGAAAGCCCACGGCUCAACCGUGGAGGGUCAUUGGAAACUGGAAAACUUGAGUGCAGAAGAGGAAAGUGGAAUUCCAUGUGUAGCGGUGAAAUGCGCAGAGAUAUGGAGGAACACCAGUGGCGAAGGCGACUUUCUGGUCUGUAACUGACGCUGAUGUGCGAAAGCGUGGGGAUCAAACAGGAUUAGAUACCCUGGUAGUCCACGCCGUAAACGAUGAGUGCUAAGUGUUAGGGGGUUUCCGCCCCUUAGUGCUGCAGCUAACGCAUUAAGCACUCCGCCUGGGGAGUACGACCGCAAGGUUGAAACUCAAAGGAAUUGACGGGGACCCGCACAAGCGGUGGAGCAUGUGGUUUAAUUCGAAGCAACGCGAAGAACCUUACCAAAUCUUGACAUCCUUUGACAACUCUAGAGAUAGAGCCUUCCCCUUCGGGGGACAAAGUGACAGGUGGUGCAUGGUUGUCGUCAGCUCGUGUCGUGAGAUGUUGGGUUAAGUCCCGCAACGAGCGCAACCCUUAAGCUUAGUUGCCAUCAUUAAGUUGGGCACUCUAAGUUGACUGCCGGUGACAAACCGGAGGAAGGUGGGGAUGACGUCAAAUCAUCAUGCCCCUUAUGAUUUGGGCUACACACGUGCUACAAUGGACAAUACAAAGGGCAGCGAAACCGCGAGGUCAAGCAAAUCCCAUAAAGUUGUUCUCAGUUCGGAUUGUAGUCUGCAACUCGACAAUAUGAAGCUGGAAUCGCUAGUAAUCGUAGAUCAGCAUGCUACGGUGAAUACGUUCCCGGGUCU
rnacentral:rRNA from 1 species